AUUGAACGCUGGCGGCAGGCCUAACACAUGCAAGUCGAGCGGACGAAGGUAGCUUGCUCCUGGAUUCAGCUGCGGACGGGUGAGUAAUGCCUAGGAAUCUGCCUGGUAGUGGGGGAUAACGUCCGUACACGGGCUCUAAUACCGCAUACGUCCUGAGGGAGAAAGUGGGGGAUCUUCGGACCUCACGCUAUCAGAUGAGCCUAGGUCGGAUUAGCUAGUUGGUGGGGUAAAUGCCUACCAAGGCGACGAUCCGUAACUGGUCUGAGAGGAUGAUCAGUCAGACUGGAACUGAGAAACGGUCCAGACUCCUACGGGAGGCAGCAGUGGGGAAUAUUGGACGAUGGGCGAAAGCCUGAUCCAGCCAUGCCGCGUGUGUGAAGAAGGUCUUCGGAUUGUAAAGCACUUUAAGUUGGGAGGAAGGGAAGUAAGUUAAUACCUUGCUGUUUUGACGUUACCAACAGAAUAAGCACCGGCUAACUUCGUG
rnacentral:rRNA from 1 species